rnacentral:rRNA from 1 species
AGAGUUUGAUUAUGGCUCAGGAUGAACGCUAGCUACAGGCUUAACACAUGCAAGUCGAGGGGCAGCAUGAACUUAGCUUGCUAAGUUUGAUGGCGACCGGCGCACGGGUGAGUAACGCGUAUCCAACCUGCCCUUUACUCGGGGAUAGCCUUCUGAAAGGAAGUUUAAUACCCGAUGAAUUCGUUUAGUCGCAUGGCUUGAUGAAUAAAGAUUUAUCAGUAAAGGAUGGGGAUGCGUCCCAUUAGCUUGUUGGCGGGGUAACGGCCCACCAAGGCGACGAUGGGUAGGGGUUCUGAGAGGAAGGUCCCCCACAUUGGAACUGAGACACGGUCCAA